AACACUGAAAAGUAUAAUUACCAAGAGCGGCUUUUGGGAGUUGCACGUUUAUUAUCGCAGAUGGUUGAACCUAUGGUGAAGGCAGCUAUUGAGAUAUCAUCCUUACUUGCUCGAUCUUUUUUCAUGGGAUUCUCCAUGACAAUUCUGGCCAUACUUGGACGCCUGAGGGUUCUGGUCCAGCAAAUAUUACUUGAUGUAGUUUCGGUUUACAACAUGAUUUCAUCUAUCUCUCAAAAGGAGCACUCUGUAAAACUAAAUCGACAAGGAAUUGAGGUCAUCAGGCACUGGAGUGUAUCUGGGAAAAAGAUAAGUUUGUUUUGCUUGAGAAAGUGAAUAAAAUUGAGAUCAACAAGCGAGAAGCGGAUCUGCAAUUAUCAAAUAUAAAAUAUCAGACUGUAGAAGCAUUCCUGGGACUUGGAGAUGAUGAACCUGGUUACAAGAAGAUGGACACAGAUAACUCCAUUGAAGAGCACCCAGACCCUAUAAACAUCUACGGACGCGAAGUUGGUGAAUCUUCAGAACAACCUAUGGAUGUCAGUAGUAUGAGCGCAAAAGUUGAAGUCCAAGAGUCUCUCAUUAAUGAAGGCAAUGAAAGUAAUGAAAAUUCAUUUGACAAGAGUUCGGGCACUGAUAAAGACGAUGUUGCUAGUCCAAGUCCAAAAUCUCCACAACCUCGAAUAGAAUUGAAGAGAAAGGUAGCAUUUAUUUCAAUUGGGAAGCUGAAAGUACCCCAAACAAGUGAAAGCAGCUUGCUUAAUAAUGUGCUAACUACUAAUUUGCUUGCCACCAAAGCUAGUGAAGAAAAAGACCCAUUUUCAGCCUGCUCACUGGUGGUAGUGUAAAGGAUACUCUUUUCUAAAUUUAGCAGGAUAUUUGAGCAUGAUUUUUUUAAGUAUGCCAAGUCCAUUCUGCUUGCAGUCAUCUAGUUAAUGUGCUUUAUUUAUGGAAA